CCUACGGGAGGCAGCAGUGGGGAAUAUUGCACAAUGGGGGAAACCCUGAUGCAGGGACGCCGCGUGAGUGAAGAAGUAUCUCGGUAUGUAAAGCUCUAUCAGCAGGGAAGAAAAUGACGGUACCUGACUAAGAAGCCCCGGCUAAUUACGUGCCAGCAGCCGCGGUAAUACGUAGGGGGCAAGCGUUAUCCGGAAUUACUGGGUGUAAAGGGUGCGUAGGUGGUAUGGCAAGUCAGAAGUGAAAACCCAGGGCUUAACUCUGGGACUGCUUUUGAAACUGUCAGACUGGAGUGCAGGAGAGGUAAGCGGAAUUCCUAGUGUAGCGGUGAAAUGCGUAGAUAUUAGGAGGAACAUCAGUGGCGAAGGCGGCUUACUGGACUGAAACUGACACUGAGGCACGAAAGCGUGGGGAGCAAACAGGAUUAGAUACCCUGGUAGUCCACGCCGUAAACGAUCAACCCUAGGUAUUUGGGCGGGAGAGGGAUUCGGUGCCCCAGCCCACGCAGUAAGUAUUCCACCCGGGGAGUGCGUUGCCAGGAAAGAAACUCAAAGGAAUUGACGGGGGCCCGCACAAGCGGUGGAGCAUGUGGGUUAUUUUGAAGCAACGCGAAGAACCCUCCCUGGUCUUGACAUCCUUCUGACCGGUCGUUGACCGGACCAUACCUUCGGGACAGGAGUGACAGGUGGUGCAUGGUGGUCGUCAGCUCGUGUCGUGAGAUGUUGGGGUAAGUCCCGCAACGAGCGCAACCCCUAUCUUUAGUAGCCAGCAUCUCAGGUGGGCACUCUAGAGAGACUGCCAGGGAUAACCUGGAGGAAGGUGGGGACGACGUCAAAUCAUCAUGCCCCUUAUGACCAGGGCUACACACGUGCUACAAUGGCGUAAACAGAGGGAAGCAGCCUCGUGAGAGUGAGCAAAUCCCAAAAAUAACGUCUCAGUUCGGAUUGUAGUCUGCAACUCGACUACAUGAAGCUGGAAUCGCUAGUAAUCGCGAAUCAGAAUGUCGCGGUGAAUAAAAUCCCGGGUCUUGCACA
rnacentral:rRNA from 1 species